rnacentral:rRNA from 1 species
CAGUAGCCGCGGUAAUACGAAGGGUGCAAGCGUUACUCGGAAUUACUGGGCGUAAAGCGUGCGUAGGUGGUGGUUUAAGUCCGUUGUGAAAGCCCUGGGCUCAACCUGGGAAUUGCAGUGGAUACUGGGUCACUAGAGUGUGGUAGAGGAUAGUGGAAUUUCCGGUGUAGCAGUGAAGUGCGUAGAGAUCGGGAGGAACAUCAGUGGCGAAGGCGGCCAUCUGGGACAACACUGACGCUGAAGCACGAAAGCGUGGGGAGCAAACAGGAUUAGAUACCCCCGUAGUCCCUGUCUCUUAUAC